AUGAAGGAGGAAGAGGGAAGAGUUUUAGGCGGGUUAAUACAGAGAAGAAAGAAGAUUAGAAGUAGAAAGAGGAACUCAAAGGAGAUUUUGUACAAGAAGUAUCACUGCAGGCGAGGUUCGGGGGUGUUGGCUCACGCGGUAAUUAUGAUUUUCGGUGAUGGAUUUAUUGACCACGAUGUUAUAAACCCUGAAACCCAAGACGGUAGAGAUUCAGUCUUCUAUCACUUUGAGACUACUAUUUGUGGUAGAGAUUCGAGAUGA